UACGAAGGGGGCUAGCGUUGCUCGGAAUUACUGGGCGUAAAGCGCACGUAGGCGGCUUUUUAAGUCGGAGGUGAAAUCCUGGAGCUCAACUCCAGAACUGCCUUCGAUACUGGAGAGCUUGAGUCCGGGAGAGGUGAGUGGAACUGCGAGUGUAGAGGUGAAAUCCGUAGAUAUUCGCAAGAACACCAGUGGCGAAGGCGGCUCACUGGCCCGGUACUGACGCUGAGGUGCGAAAGCGUGGGGAGCAAACAGG
rnacentral:rRNA from 1 species